ensembl:lncRNA
GGGGGCCACUGGACAUGAUGGCAGAGAUGACAUAGAAAGGAGAACUACGAGCCAGGCCCAGUCCCUGAGGAAUGCAGCAAUGUCUGUGUGGUCAGUAGAUGACUCCGGAAAGUUGGGGAGGAUGUAGUUUUUUUUUUUUUUUAAAAAAGCAUAUCCAUGAAGGUACUAAGUAGCAGUUGUGAAGUAUUGUUGCCUUCUCUUCCAUCAAGCUAGAGUCCCCCCCACCCAGUUCUUGCGGAUGCAUGUCAUCAAAUGUGAGGUACUGUAGUAAACCUCUUGAAAUUUAUUUAUUUUUUUUUAGGAUAAAAAAUAUUACCCAGAUAGUACUAAAAAGUGCUAACACUAGUUUUUCAAAGUCUCUUCCUCUGGCAUGGGAUAACAAGAGUCUGUCAAUAAAAAUAGCUACUGUGGCUCAUUCCUUUAGAUCUUUGGGGGUAGAGUACUAGCAUUUGCUUUUCAAACUGUCAUAGGUUCAAAAUAUAGCAUAUGAUUUAUACUGAUGUAUUUGUGGUUGGAAACUUAGUGUUGCCAAAGUCUUCUCAGUUGACAUCUGAAUAUCUCAAUUAUGUUUCUGGUAAAUUUAUUAUUUUAAAAUACCCUGCCAGACCUUAGUGCUUUACAAAGUUGGCAGCACAUUGCCGAUGACCUAAUUUAUUAUUCAGACUCAUUGUAAGUGUUCUAAAUGUUUCAGUAUAAACAGCUAUUCAAUUUAUCCAUUUGGAGUGCAUUUUAGGUGUACUUUAUUACAUAGAAGCAUUGUUUUCCUGUAGUCUAAAUAAGCAUAAAAUAAAUGUUUAAGUAUUUUAGACCCCACUUCCCACAUUUAUUCUAUUUUUAGGUGCAAAAUAUCUUCCAGAACAUCAGAAAGUGUAGACCAGCAUUCAGUAGGAUUUCUUCAGAGCAAUAGCUUCUUUUGAGCCUACCCUUGAGGCUGCAGUCUGCCCUGCUGCCGCCGGCUCUGAGCUUCGCUGAGUUUUGCCUCCCACCCUCAGCUUUCAACCAUUAUUUUCUCCUAUUCUCUGCUUUUCUCCACUUUUCUGGUUUGUUUCAGUUCAGUUUCUCUUUCUCUUUCUAAGUCUCUUAGAUCAGUAAUUUUUCAUUAUCCUUUAGGUCUUAGCGUCAGUGUCACUUGCUCAGAGAGGUCUUUCUAGGGUCUUCCUGCUACAUGUGGUCCCUCUGCUGUGUAUUGUCAUCAUGCUUUCCCAUGCUAACUUUUUACACCUGAUUGUAGUUACAUGCUUCAUGGCCGUGUGCCCUGGUAAAACCCAUAACCUCCGAGGGGCCACGUCUGUCCCACGAACGCUGUAUCCCCAGCACCUAGAAGAGACCUGUGUGCUGGGCUCGCAGAAACCUCUUCACAGGCCUGUGUGGAAUGAGUGAAUGAGGGUGACUUCCUCCUUGCCACUGCAGCUGUGGCCCGUGACCACUUGACACAACUAUUUUCAGUACUGGACACAAGUGCAAAACAGCCAGGUCUCCGUCACCAAGAAAACGUCAGUCAGGUUUCUGAUGUGUUCGUGGCUCUGCUAAGGGCAAUUAGGAAGGUGACCUCACAUUGCUUUCAUAGCUGACUUGNNNNNNNNNNNNNNNNNNNNNNNNNNNNNNCUGCUAAGAUGAGGAUUUGGUUCUUGGUCCUUCUCUUUCUUCUGUGGCAAUCCCAGGAGGAGGAAUUAGGAAGUAAAUAAAUUUCUGUGACAUAAUUUUUUUAAGUUCUUUCCCCAAAUCCCAUUGCUGUGAGUCUGCUAGGAUCACAUUGCCAAGUUUCUAGGUUUUUUAAGGCAAAGUUCCAUGAAAUGAAUCUUGUAUGUGUUAUAUAUGUGGUAUCUGGAAGUUUUAUACUGUUGUUAGAAAAAUACUCUGAACAAGUAAUAAUUCAGUAACUCACUUUGCCUAAUUUCAUGUGCUUUGACAAAAGUUUUUUCAGUAUCUUGUAUAGGUCCACCAGACAGGUCCCUUAUCUUAAACCUUUGGACCCAGCUGCAUUUUGGAAUACAGACUUCUUUGAAUUUUAAAAAGUUGCUAUUAAAAAAAGCAUAUUUAAAAAUAUGCUACCCGGUGAGGUCUGGGGCAGCAUCUGGCAAUCAAACAUUAAUCCUCUGCCUUGAAACAUUCGCAUUAAAUAGGAUAAAUGUACUAUAAAUAGCCUCAAGUCAGUUCAGGUUUUGGUUUUGCUGCCACAUAAUUUUGGUUAGGUUGGGCCACAGAUGAAUUACAGAAAAUUUUAGCUGUUGGAAUUGGAGGGCUUUGGAAUUAUUAGUUAGAGAACUGUCAUAGAUACACAUCACAGCCUGUAUGAGUAUCUCUUGGAUGCCUCCCUCCGUGCUCAGAACCACCCUGAGAUUAAGCCAGGGCUCUGUCCCCUGGGUCACAACAGCUCGCUCCUGCCCAGUUCCCUCGCGGUUCAUUCUCCGGGGUAAUUGUCCUGAAACAAGUUUUGUUCAUACCGCUCCUCUCUGUAAACCCUUUCAGUGGCUUCUUACUGCCCUAAAGAUCAAAUUUGCAUUUCAUAACCCAUCACACAGGCUCCAGGUGGUCUGGGCCCGUUACCUCCUCAGCCCUUUCAUAGCCACUCCCUGUUUUUCCAGCAAACAUACAUAUAUAUAUAUUUUUUUUUUCCAUUCCAUGGUCCCUUGCUUACUGGCUGUGCUUCUGUCUGGAAGCUCCUUUAUCCUGCCUCCAUCCUUCCAUUCUGUACUAACUCAUCUGUUUUUCAGGUUUUGAAUUAAAUAUCGCUUCCAAGGAAAUCUUUCUGCCCCUGGUCCUAGAUGAGAUGCCUCCUCACCUUUGUGUGGAACACCGUGUGCUCCUGCUGCAGUGUGAUGUAAUUACAUCACUAAUUUUCUGGAGCAGGUUUCUCAACAUUUAUUUUAUUUUUGUAGUACAUCUGUCUAAGACCUGAUGUUUAAUACCAGGCCUCUGACACUCCACCUGCUUGGCCUCUGGCCAUCGUCCUCUGACGUUUGUCCUGCUUUAGCAGUCAACUUCUAUACAUGGUUCUAAGUACUUAUACCAGGUUUCUCAGCCUCGGCCGGAUAAUUCUUUGCUGGGGGCGGGGGGGGGCUGUCCUUGUAAGCAUCAUGUGGGAUGUUUCGCAUCAUCCCUGGACUCUACCCACUAGCUACCAGUAGCACACCCUCUCCCCUCUGUCCCAUUGUGACAGCCAAAAAAUGUCUCCAGACAUUGUUAAAUGUCCCUUGGAGGACACAGUCACCUCCAUUUGACCCACUGAUUAGAAGGAAAGCUCAUUGAGGCAGAGGCUGUGCCUGUGUGGGUCUUCGUAACCUAGCUUGGCACACAUAGGUCCACUUCAGUGUUGAAUGGACUAAAUGGGGAUGCAGGAAGGGGACAGUUGGAUGGAAGGACGAAGAGAAUGGUGCGCUCUUUCAUGGCAGGGGGUGCGAGGAUAUAUAGCAACUCCGAGCUCCUGCAGAGCAGGCUGACUCUGUUCUGCCUCUUUGAAUGACGACUUCUUUUGCCUUUUGGGCCAUCCUCCAGGCAUGUCUUUCCUGACUUAGAGCCAUAGGCACAGAUGUCCCGAUGGCCCAGAAGCUUCUUGGAAUCAGCCACGGAGCAUUUAUUAAAGCACUGUGAAAGUAGUGGGCACAAGCAUGGGUGAGAAGCAGUCCCUGCCCUCAGUGCUUCAGGCUCGUGGGAAGCACGUGGGGGCGGGGGGGGGGUGUCUCUGUCCAGAGGUCCUUCUGCCCUGCCUGUCCUGGCAUUUUCCUGUUGCUUCUACCCAUUGUAGAUUAUAUUAGGCCUUUCUAUUAUGUGGUUCUAUGAUAGCUAUUCUUUCCCUUCUUAGUAUUUCUCACAAUUUUUAAUUAUAUAGGUUUUUUCUUAUGUUUGUUUAUAUUUCUCUUUUUUGAGACGAAACUCUGUGGAGAAAGGAACAGCAUAUGUUUUGUUCAUUUACGUUUCUGUAGCUCCUGGCACAGUAACUGGCACAGUGUAGGGAUUUAGUACAUAAUUUAGUUAAAAAUGAGAGUGUGUGUGGUAGGCCUUCCAAGAACUCAUAUUCCAUUGAAGGAGACAGUGUGUACUACAAUGCCAGGUUCCGCACCAGAGGAGUGAGAAAGUAUAGCGUUGGUUUGCGGGGUAAGAUGGGAGAAUAAAUUGAACUAGAAGUAUCUGGGUUGACUUUAUGGGAAAAAAA